rnacentral:rRNA from 1 species
UACGGAGGGGGCUAGCGUUGUUCGGAAUUACUGGGCGUAAAGCGCACGUAGGCGGCUUUGUAAGUUAGAGGUGAAAGCCCAGGGCUUAACCCUGGAAUUGCCUUUAAGACUGCAUCGCUAGAAUUGUGGAGAGGUAAGUGGAAUUCCGAGUGUAGAGGUGAAAUUCGUAGAUAUUCGGAAGAACACCGGUGGCGAAGGCGGCGACCUGGGCCGAUACUGACGCUGAGGUGCGAAAGCGUGGGGAGCAAACAGG